rnacentral:rRNA from 1 species
AUUGAACGCUGGCGGCAUGCCUUACACAUGCAAGUCGAACGGCAGCACGGGUGCUUGCACCUGGUGGCGAGUGGCGAACGGGUGAGUAAUACAUCGGAACAUGUCCUGUAUUGGGGGAUAGCCCGGCGAAAGCCGGAUUAAUACCGCAUACGAUCUACGGAUGAAAGCGGGGGACCUUCGGGCCUCGCGCUAUAGGGUUGGCCGAUGGCUGAUUAGCUAGUUGGUGGGGUAAAGGCCUACCAAGGCGACGAUCAGUAGCUGGUCUGAGAGGACGACCAGCCACCAUGGGACUGAGACACGGCCCAGACUCCUACGGGAGGCAGCAGUGGGGAAUUUUGGACAAUGGGCGAAAGCCUGAUCCAGCAAUGCCGCGUGUGUGAAGAAGGCCUUCGGGUUGUAAAGCACUUUUGUCCGGAAAGAAAUCCUUGGCCCUAAUACGGUCGGGGGGAUGACGGUACCGGAAGAAUAAGCACCGGCUAACUACGUG